CGCCGUGCGCGCAGCUUCCGGAAGGCGUCCACUACACGACACGAGGUUCUGGAAGUGAGAGGCGCCGGGUCUGAAUUGCCUGUGCGGUGGUCGGCGUGAUGCCCAAGGCCAAGGGGAAGACCCGGCGGCAGAAGUUCGGUUACAGUGUUAACCGGAAGCGUCUGAACCGGAGUGCUCGACGGAAGGCAGCCCCGCGGAUCGAGUGCUCCCACAUCCGACAUGCCUGGGACCACACCAAGUCCGUGCGGCAGAACCUGGCCGAGAUGGGCUUGGCUAUGGACCCCAACAAGGCGGUGCCCCUCCGUAAGAGAAAGGUCCAGGCCAUGGAGGUGGACGUAGACGAGAGACGGCAGCUCGUACGGAAGCCCUAUGUGCUGAAUGACCUCGAGGCAGAAGCCAGCCUCCCGGAAAAGAAAGGAAAUACGCUGUCUCGGGACCUCAUAGACUACGUACGCUACAUGGUGGAGAACCAUGGGGAGGACUACAAGGCUAUGGCCCGGGAUGAGAAGAAUUAUUAUCAAGAUACCCCGAAACAGAUUCGGAAUAAGAUUAACGUCUAUAAGCGCUUUUACCCAGCGGAGUGGGAAGCCUUCGCUCAUUCUUUGCAGAAGAAUGCGAUGGAGGUUGCGUGACUGGUGUACGCCUGCCCCAGGCUGAAGCCUCCUCCUGGACCCGAGAAGCUGGGGCCAGGGUUUAAGGGUCCUCUGCUAUCUACACAGAAGGGAUCUGACAUACCGAUGGAGGUACAGUUCAUGUGGAUCAGUGUGAACUCUCCUGGUAUCAUUAUAUCAAAGGGCGGGGGAGCUACAGCCUGGCUCCUUGACCUGCAUAACUUAUCACUGUCAUUAAUGAUUCCAGCCAUUUUCCUCAAAGAUCCAGAUUUUCCAUGACAGUCAUCUGGGGUUUUGAUAGCAGCACCUAGAAACAGAGGCUAAAUCUUUGGCCUGUUCCUUUUAUAAAUAAAUAAUCACAAUGCAGUUCUAGAUCAAG